rnacentral:lncRNA from 1 species
GCUUUUUGGUUUCUCAAUCUUCACAUAAGGUAAAACACCCAGUAAAUAAACAACUUUUGGAGACCACCCACGCUGUUCAGCACGGCAAAACAUCAAGAAUGUGUUUGCAAAGUAGGAAUUGAAACCCAUGAAGACAUGCCACAAAGCAUGACCCUGAGGGUUAAUAGGCCAACGGGAUAUCUCCUUGCAGAAAACACGAUCACAAAACCCAAACAGACUGCCUAAUACAAGAGUACCUAAAAAUAGCUUAGCUAGCCGCUUGGCUGAAACAUCUUGAGUGUAAAUGUAAUACUUGCACAUUCUUGGAGUACAGAGCAGACACAGAACAACAUAAUGCACUUUGAAGCCAACACCAAAACGGAAUACUGAAUGGGCAGUUGCAAAACCAGCACCAUACAAAAAUAGGAAGAUGGGCAUUGUACUGCGAUGAUGCCAAUCUGGAGAGUAGAGGAUGUACAUGUACAGCAGCACCUCCCACACCAUUGGAGUUUCAUCCCCUUGCUGUUGCCUAUAUAAAUCAAAAGCAACAUCUGAACAAUGAAUAGUCAUUUUUUUUAUGAAAGAAUUUGAACAAUGAAUAGUCAUCCAAAACAAACAGACUAAAUAAUUCAAACUACCCAAUUUUAUUAGGGACAUAAACCCAGCACUAUAGUAGAUUGCCCUUUUCAAUCCGAGCCACCACCAGCUCUAAUACCAACGAUAAGUCUCCAAACAAUCCGGGAACCCUCCCUUAAAAGCUAGCUAACAAGGGGGAAGAACCACGCAUCCUAUACUACCCAAUGUGGGACUUGGACAUAUCUUAUAAACUUCAAACCCUUUUUGUAUCUGAAAUAAAUCAAGACAUCAUAUAUCUAUCCUAAUAGUAAUUAUGUGCUCCAGUGUCACCCCACUAUAGGUGUGCUAAGGUGUGAUUGGUAUUCUAAUAGUAAUUAUCCAUCGUAGUACAUUUCUUCAAAAUAAAUAAAUAAAUAAAAAGAACAGACAGAACGGUGUAUUAUGUGCUCCUGCUCCACCUUCAGGGUCACCCUACUAUAGGUGUGCUGGAAUUUUACCAAUCAGCCAACAUUGCGAGUUUUAUGUGGUGGCCGAUGGAAGCUGCAUCUGNNNNNNNNNNNNNNNNCGGUCCAAGGGAGAAAUAGUAACUUGUGGUUGUUUAUUUGAAAAAGCAACCUUUUUUAUAUUCUCAAAGGGAUAUAUGACACCCCUAUAGUUUGCAAGUUGCAACCACUAUCACACUUGAACAAUCUUUGCAAACUGAAUGAACUCCACAUCAACCAUCUCCAGCGAUUGAGUGACAUUUCCCACAUAUAAUCCCCAACAAAUGAUCCAUCUCUAAACCGGAACUUCUAAACCAGAUUAGGCUUCCAUUCUGCAACUGCAUAUCCUCCCAUCCCCUCCCUCUAAGCCCGAACUUUGGUCCUGUUAAGUAACCUCUCUGGCUAUUUGUCCCUUCUCUGCCGCUGUUUUCUCUAAUUAUUUGUUUUUUUUUAUAUAUCCCCUUUUUCCCUCUCCUUUAUAACUCCUCUUAUUCUUGNGGGGAGGGGGGUAGAAGUUGCGCUUUCUCUGUGUUAUUUCACUAAUUUGUCUUUUCUUCCCCUUGUUGCUUCUAUUGUUAUAAGAGGUAAAAAAACUAGUCGUCAAAUCAACCUCUUACUAGUGCAAGGUGAUGCUGCCUACAACGGAUCCAACCAUCUCCUGUACUAUUGAUGAAUGUUAUUCCCUAGAAUAUGUUUCUAAUUUCUUUUUCUUGAUACAUAUUUUUUAAUUUUUAUGCAUAAUUAUAGUAUCAGCAGUGUUUUAGUAUAUUCCUAAUGUGUGUGUGUGUGUGUGUGCCUACUUUUUUAUUAGCCACUGUCCUCGACCAAUAGACCAUACAUAGGACCAAUCAGUAAAGCAAACAUAAACAUAAAAAUGGCAACCUCAUUAUGUAGCAUGCAAACUAACUCGAAAUAAUAAUAUAGAGCCAAUCAGUAAAGCAAGCAUAAAUUUCAACACAAAAAUGGAGAUCAAUACUUACACUCGUUGCAGUGUGGCGUGGUACAACAUGCUCCCAAUGGCAAGUAUCAUGUUUGAUAGAUGAAGGAUACUGAAUCUUUUCUCAAAUCGCUGUCUUAGAGCAUUUAUAAGACCAAUCAGAGCCAAAAUAAUUGUGGGAAUAUUGGAUAUAGUGUUAUAAAGUUCUGCAAUGUAUGUCGAAUGUGCAUAAUUUUCUUCACAACACUCUUUGGUGGAUGUGACUGGACCCCAGAAACUAGAAAUAGUUUCUGCCAUUCUCCUCUUCAGCCCGAUGAUCUUUCCUCAGAGCUGCAGAAUUCAAAGGAAAGAAACAAACCUGCAAAUCAUACCAAAAUUCAAUCAAUGACACUAUUAAACCACCAAUUAAUACAAGCAAUACAACAUUAGACCGCAAAAAUGAACAAGUUUCAACACAAGGAAAGCAUGAAAAUGUAUUAUUAAGAUUUAAGACAACAUAACAUGUAAGAUUAGUUCCAAGAUUAUGCGCACACAGCAUAACACUCUUAGAAUUUUGGGUUGGGCCUAACCGAUCAAUCUUACAAAACUAACUUGUAAGUUGAGAAUUUUCCCCACUUAUAAACAUAUCUUCAUGCAAUCUCACAUUCAAUGUGAAACUCUUGAAAUCAGUAAAAAAAUCUCAAAGCCCCUCCUUCAACAAAAGAGCUCAAAAUAGCUAUUGAAUUGAUUUUUUUGUUUUUAAUAUCUUUAUAUUAUUAUAAGCAGCAUCGUUGAAAUCUGAACCGAGAUUCAGUAAUAAAUUAGCACACAUGACUUGACUAUGACUAUAAAUCAUACUCCCUCCAGUUUCAAAUAUAAAUACAAAACCAUUUUUCUAAUGAAUCUGGUCUGUAAUAUAGACCAAAUUAGACCAAAUUCAUUCGUUACCGAUUAAUCUAUAAAAGUUUAUAAAAAAAAAAAUUGCUUAUAUUUGAAACCGGUGAGAGUAUAUUAAUUCCAAAAGGGGGACGAAAUAGGCAAUUGAUGAAAUGUUAAAAUAAAUUCCAUAUACAAAAAAAGCUUAGCACGCCUAAAUGAGAAAAAUGCUCAGAGAUAAAGUGAUUGAAUACAAAUGCUACCGUUUUGCAGUAACCUGAGAAAAGGAUCGAGAGUGAAGAAACGAAUGAAUCGAAUAAUUGGAUGUAGGGUUAGGAAAAUUGGUUGAGAGGAAGGGAAAAAAAAAAAACAGUAGUCACACUAGUUAGUUAGGUUAUGGAGGAAUGAAAGUGAGAAGAAGAAAAAGAUGAAGUAACAGUAAAUCAUACCUCAACGGCUGAACGUGAUGAUGGAUGAUGGGAGGGGGGCGAAGAAGACAGUACAGCACAGCACAGCACCGCACAGCAGAGAGGGAAUGGCCGUGAAAGAACAAUUUUAUUUAUUUUUUAUUUUUUAUUUUAAUUUAACGGGCGGGUGGAACUUGUAUGCGACACUUCCACUUGUGGUUCAUUAAAUUUACGGGUAAAUUCUAAUAUGGAUUACUUCAUCGAGUGAUCCAUGUGGACCAGUUAUGAAUAAUAUUAUAAUGAAUACGAAUUUUAUAAAAUUCAUCGUUGGAUUAAAAGUUUAUAUCAUAUAGAUUAUCCAUAAAAAAAAUUUAUAAAAAUUGAAAAUCAUUUGAUAUGUUAUUGAGAUAUAUCAAGAUUAACGGUUUAUUAAAUAACGUAAAUGUUGAUGAGUCUCAAUAACAUGUCAAAUGAUUUUAAAAAAAUUUAUGGAUGAUCUAUACGAUAUAAACUUUCAAUUCAAUUGUAAAUUUCGUAAAAUUCAUAUUCGGUAGGUCACUUGUCCACGGUGAUGAUCUACCGUAGCAUUAGCCUAAAUUUACCUGCUUUAUACUCUAUGUAGUCAUCUUCUUUUUCUCUUUUAUCUUUGUUUAUUUAAUCAAAUAAUUUAAUUUCAAACAAAUUAAUCAAUUCAAUCAAAUUGUUAGUUGGUUCGGUGGUAAUUGGCGUUGAACUUGAUAGGAAGGACUACGAUCCCCACAACUGCGAUUGGGAUGAGAUUUAAACCACUUGAUGCCAGAACUAACCCCCAAAUCAGAUUAAACUGGUGGUGAAAACAAAACAAAAAAUCAAGUUUUAUCUUUUUUUUUAUAUAAUUAAAUCACAAAAGAACACAAUCACUAUCAAGAAAAAAUAGUUGAUUCAAUUCUGAAUCUAAUUCCUAGUGUAUUUGUUUUUAAAAAAUUGUUUUGUAAUAUUGAAUUAGGUGCACUCAUGUAGUCAACAUCUUCGAACAGUCCGAUCAAAACUAAAUAUAAUUCUUAAAGACUAUUUUUUUAUUUAAUAUAAAAUUCUAAGAUUAAAAUUAAAACCGGAAAGGUAUGAAGUAACUCGACUGAUAAGGACAGGGAGUCAGUACCUCUUUUUCCAGGCCUGUUCGGACAUAUGGUUCCCGCGGAAGAUGGUGAGUCUGAUUUUAAUUAAGUUUCUAACUUUUUUAUUGCAUGAGUGCAUCAAAUUUUGACUAGAUUGAAACACAAUCCCUUCUAAUGCUAGUUAUAGGUUAAAUUAAUAUUAGCCUAUAUAGUUUAAUUAAAUUUCAAGUUACUUUAUAAUCAUUUUAAAAAGUCCUUAUAGUUUAAAUUGCCAACUUACCUAUGAUACCAAGUUUAUAGGGUAUAAAUAAAACAAGUCUUACACUAUGUUUGGAUCCCAAAGAGAUAGGGAAGAGAGAAACAGUGAAGAGAAAAAUAAGAGAGAAGAGAGAUAGAAGAGAAAUUGGAUAAAAAAAUUAUAUGGUUUGGAUGAAUAGAAAAGUGAGAAGAGAGAAAUUAAUAAAAAUGAGAAAAUAACAAAUUUACCCUUUUAUACAAGAAAAUAAAUUAGUUGAAUGAGGGUAUUGUUAUAAAAUUAUUUAUUUCACUUCUUGUCACACAAAUCUCUCAUAAUAUGGAGAGAUUUAUUUUUGGCAGUUAUUAACCAUUAUAUUUCUCUCUUUCCUUAUUUCUCUCCUCAUCCAAUUCAUAGAAAUAGUUAAUUUCUUUGCUAUCUCUCGCUUUCUUGUUUCUCUCUUUUAUAAAUCUACCUAAACAAACAUAGUGUUAGUCAAAAAAAUAAAAUAAAACAAGUCUUUUACUAUGAACAAAAUUGUUUUCAUCGUUGAAUCAAAUAAAAUGUGAUGUGACAUAUUAAUUCAAUAGUAAAUCUUAUUGAUAUAAUGGCAAAAACAAAUUUUUGUAUGAUUGAAGACUUAUUUCAUUUAUGCAAAUCAGACAAAGUCUACUUAUUAACACUGUUAACACGUGACAUAUUUGUCUUCUUUAUUCAUUUCACGUUCAAAAUUUUGGAGUGAACACCACCCAAAAUAUAUGCAAUUAGUGUGCAAUCAACAUCUUAGUAACAUUGAUUCAAAAAAAAAAAACAUCUUAGUAACAUUUAAUCAAAAUUGGACAAUUGAAAUCUUAAAACAAUUUUUACUUUUAUUUAUAUAAAAUUCAAAUGUUAAAAUCUGAAUCUUCAGAUUGACUACAUACAAUACAAUGACCGUAAACACAUCUAGAUUCUAGAGCUACAUCACACAAAACCUGUCCCUGCCAUUCCAAUCCCCACAGCACCACACAGCCGUACAUUAAAUCCAUCACAAGAGAACAAGAAAAUUUUGGAGUGAACACCACCCAAAAUAUAUGCAAUUAGUGUGCAAUCAACAUCUUAGUAACAUUGAUUAAAAAAAAAAAAUCUUAGUAACAUUUAAUCAAAAUUGGACAAUUGAAAUCUUAAAACAAUUUUUACUUUUAUUUACAUAAAAUUCAAAUGUUAAAAUCUGAAUCUUCAGAUUGACUACAUACAAUACAAUGGCCGUAAACACAUCUAGAUUCUAGAGCUACAUCACACAAAACCUGUCCCUGCCAUUCCAAUCCCCACAACACNNNNNNNNNNNNNNNNNNNNNNNNNNNNNNNNNNNNNNNNNNNNNNACCACACAGCCGUACAUUAAAUCCAUCACAAGAGAACAAGAAAAUUUUGGAGUGAACACCACCCAAAAUAUAUGCAAUUAGUGUGCAAUCAACAUCUUAGUAACAUUUAAUCAAAAUUGGACAAUUGAAAUCUUAAAACAAUUUUUACUUUUAUUUAUAUAAAAUUCAAAUGUUAAAAUCUGAAUCUUCAGAUUGACUACAUACAAUACAAUGACCGUAAACACAUCUAGAUUCUAGAGCUACAUCACACAAAACUUGUCCCUGCCAUUCCAAUCCCCACAGCACCACACAGUCGUACAUUAAAUCCAUCACAAGAGAACAAGAAAUUUUUGUCCAUCGUCCCCAUAUAUUGUCGUCCAAUGUUGCUAAAGUGGACUUCGCCUUAUUAGAUGAAGGAAGAAAAAACUUGUAGGAAUUUGAAUGGCUGAAGUUUAGUUCUAGUGAUAAAGCAAGCCUUUUGAAAAAGAGCAGUCUUAACAAUCAUCGGCAUUCAAUAGACAAGACAUUUCUAUGGGGCGCACAAAUUAAUGACCAUCUACUUAAGGAGUCCAAGUCCAUUACCACGUUAAUCAAUUCAUUGUUGGUUAAAACUAAAGACAAUGUUUACGACAAAGAUUGCAAAGGAAGUGAGCUUGUCAUCAGAGAAUAAACACCCUUCCUCUUUAUAUAUUGUAUAUAAUCGUAGUAAAAACUAAAAACCAUCUAUUGAUAGAAAUUUUCAACGCACAGAUACGAAGAUUAAAAUCGUCGAUUGCAUACCACUUAAAUUAGUAUUUAUUAGAUUACUUGAAAAUGUCAAGGACUUAUAAUUUUGUAUGACUAAACUAUAGGGACUAACUGAUUAAUGUAACCAAAUAAUAUACUACAAAAUGGACUUAACACAAGACAUUACCGCUGAAGUNNNNNNNNNNNNNNNNNNNNNNNNNNNNNNNNNNNNNNNNNNNNNNNNNNNNNNNNNNNNNNNNNNNNNNNNNNNNNNNNNNNNNNNNNNNNNNNNNNNNNNNNNNNNNNNNNNNNNNNNNNNNNNNNNNNNNNNNNNNNNNNNNNNNNNNNNNNNNNNNNNNNNNNNNNNNNNNNNNNNNNNNNNNNNNNNNNNNNNNNNNNNNNNNNNNNNNNNNNNNNNNNNNNNNNNNNNNNNNNNNNNNNNNNNNNNNNNNGACAUGCCACAAAGCAUGACCCUGAGGGUUAAUAGGCCAACGCGAUAUCUCCUCGCAGAAAACACGAUCACAAAACCCAAACAAACUGCCUAACAGAAGAGUACCUAAAUAUAGCUUAGCUAGCCGCUUGGCUAAAACAUCUUGAGUG